rnacentral:lncRNA from 1 species
GGUUCUUGGGCACUGGGAUUUGAUGCUUUACGCACACAAAACCAAACCACUUCAACCACCCCAGAGGCAGAGAUGAGAGCGCCUCAAAACUUUUCUCCCCCUCACCCACCUCCCCACCCAUCAAGGAGUAGGUGGGUGCGGAGUGCCGUCGGCGGGGACCCGCGGGCGCAGAGCGGCUCUUCGGGGGAGCAGUGGUCGCUUUAAAAACCAAACCACUCGCCGCUCCAGCCUCCGCGCUGGGCGGCCGGCGGCUCGCCUCCCAGAAGGUUCCGCGGACAGCCGCAGACCCCCACGCGCGCCCUCCGCGCCGGCUUUCCCGCGUGCAAACGGGAGUCGGGGGGCGCCAAGGGGCCCAGGUGAUGCUUCCAGGACAGCGGGCUUCUUAAUCAUCCACGGUGUAAAGACACACUUCAAGAGGAUCCUUAGAAGUCUUGGACAAGCUUCCCCACACGUGGCAGGUAUGUGUCUACACUGAGUGUGCAAGGAAUGUAACUUGUUUUAUUUUCUGCAGUUAGAUCUAAAUUAUAUUUCAACCCUUCGUGUAACCACGUGGAAGCAAUUUGAGGUUGCAUCCUAAUUCUAGGUAAGACUUUGAAGGUGAGGGGUGACAUAUCUGCUCCUAGGCUGUCAUCUCUCCACGAGUCAUGUUUGUCCUCUUAUCCUUCGUCAGUACUCAUGAGCCACUGCUGAGGCACACCUUGAUCUUCCUUUGAGGAUCUUUUCCUAUCUUUCUCUUGGCUUCUUCCAGAUACUCCGUGGACACGUGAGGGUGUGCUGCUGCUGAACCAGAAGAAAGUCUCUGGGGUGGCUUAGAGCUCUGUGCUCCUUGCAUGACGCUGUGAAGCCCCUGGGCCU